rnacentral:rRNA from 1 species
AUGCAGGGUAUGGCCCUUGCUAUCCAGCACUGUGAACUACAUAUCAUAGUCCAGUUGGACUCUUCUGUCGCCUUCUCCGCUUUGUCUGGUGACAUCUUAUCCAGAUCUGCCUACAUGCAUCUAGUCGCUGAGAUUCGUCAUCUUAUGGUAGAUAGAGUUUUCAUUCCCUUGAAAAUUAGUCGUGUGCAGAACAGGGUAGCAGAUCGUUUGGCCCUGUAUAGUCGUACAGGGAUCACUACUGAUGUAUGGCUGGGACGAGGUCCACCAUGUGUUGAGGAACUCUUGCCUCUUGAUUGUAACCCUAUGCAUAUGGAAUAA